rnacentral:rRNA from 1 species
AUGCAGUCGAACGAUCCCUUCGGGGAUAGUGGCGCACGGGUGCGUAACGCGUGGGAAUCUGCCCUUGGGUUCGGAAUAACAGCGAGAAAUUACUGCUAAUACCGGAUGAUGUCUUCGGACCAAAGAUUUAUCGCCCAAGGAUGAGCCCGCGUAGGAUUAGCUAGUUGGUGGAGUAAUGGCCUACCAAGGCGACGAUCCUUAGCUGGUCUGAGAGGAUGAUCAGCCACACUGGGACUGAGACACGGCCCAGACUCCUACGGGAGGCAGCAGUGGGNAAUAUNGGACAAUGGGCGAAAGCCUGAUCCAGCAAUGCCGCGUGAGUGAUGAAGGUUUNCGGAUCGUAAAGCUCUGUNNNNNGGNAAGAACAAGUACCGUUCUAACAGGGCGGUGCCAUGACGGUACCUCACCAGAAAGCCCCGGCUAACUACGUGCCAGCAGCCGCGGUAAUACGUAGGGGGCAAGCGUUGUCCGGAAUUAUUGGGCGUAAAGCGCGCGCAGGCGGUCCUUUAAGUCUGAUGUGAAAGCCCACGGCUUAACCGUGGAGGGUCAUUGGAAACUGGAGGACUUGAGUACAGAAGAGGAGAGUGGAAUUCCACGUGUAGCGGUGAAAUGCGUAGAGAUGUGGAGGAACACCAGUGGCGAAGGCGACUCUCUGGUCUGUAACUGACGCUGAGGUGCGAAAGCGUGGGGAGCGAACAGGAUUAGAUACCCUGGUAGUCCACGCCGUAAACGAUGAGUGCUAGGUGUUAGGGGGUUUCCGCCCCUUAGUGCUGCAGUUAACGCAAUAAGCACUCCGCCUGGGGAGUACGGCCGCAAGGCUGAAACUCAAAAGAAUUGACGGGGGCCCGCACAAGCGGUGGAGCAUGUGGUUUAAUUCGAAGNNACGCGAAGAACCUUACCNNGNNNUGACAUCCUCUGCAAGCUCUAGAGAUAGAGUGUUCCCUUCGGGGACAGAGUGACAGGUGGUGCAUGGUUGUCGUCAGCUCGUGUCGUGAGAUGUUGGGUUAAGUCCCGUAACGAGCGCAACCCUUGAUCUUAGUUGCCAGCAUUAAGUUGGGCACUCUAAGGUGACUGCCGGUGACAAACCGGAGGAAGGUGGGGAUGACGUCAAAUCAUCAUGCCCCUUAUGACCUGGGCUACACACGUGCUACAAUGGAUGGAACAAAGGGCAGCGAAGCGGCAACGCUCAGCAAAUCCCAUAAAACCAUUCUCAGUUCGGAUUGCAGGCUGCAACUCGCCUGCAUGAAGCCGGAAUCG